CGCGGGCCGUGGCCUAUACAUGCACGUCGAACGAGUUCUGAUUAUUGAAAGGUGCUUGCAUCUUGAUUUAAUUUUGAACGAGUGGCGGACGGGUGAGUAACACGUGGGUAACCUGCCCUUAAGUGGGGGAUAACAUUUGGAAACAGAUGCUAAUACCGCAUAAAUCCAAGAACCGCAUGGUUCUUGGCUGAAAGAUGGCGUAAGCUAUCGCUUUUGGAUGGACCCGCGGCGUAUUAGCUAGUUGGUGAGGUAACGGCUCACCAAGGCAAUGAUACGUAGCCGAACUGAGAGGUUGAUCGGCCACAUUGGGACUGAGACACGGCCCAAACUCCUACGGGAGGCAGCAGUAGGGAAUCUUCCACAAUGGACGCAAGUCUGAUGGAGCAACGCCGCGUGAGUGAAGAAGGCUUUCGGGUCGUAAAACUCUGUUGUUGGAGAAGAAUGGUCGGCAGAGUAACUGUUGUCGGCGUGACGGUAUCCAACCAGAAAGCCACGGCUAACUACGUGCCAGCAGCCGCGGUAAUACGUAGGUGGCAAGCGUUAUCCGGAUUUAUUGGGCGUAAAGCGAGCGCAGGCGGUUUUUUAAGUCUGAUGUGAAAGCCCUCGGCUUAACCGAGGAAGUGCAUCGGAAACUGGGAAACUUGAGUGCAGAAGAGGACAGUGGAACUCCAUGUGUAGCGGUGAAAUGCGUAGAUAUAUGGAAGAACACCAGUGGCGAAGGCGGCUGUCUGGUCUGUAACUGACGCUGAGGCUCGAAAGCAUGGGUAGCGAACAGGAUUAGAUACCCUGGUAGUCCAUGCCGUAAACGAUGAAUGCUAGGUGUUGGAGGGUUUCCGCCCUUCAGUGCCGCAGCUAACGCAUUAAGCAUUCCGCCUGGGGAGUACGACCGCAAGGUUGAAACUCAAAGGAAUUGACGGGGGCCCGCACAAGCGGUGGAGCAUGUGGUUUAAUUCGAAGCAACGCGAAGAACCUUACCAGGUCUUGACAUCUUUUGAUCACCUGAGAGAUCAGGUUUCCCCUUCGGGGGCAAAAUGACAGGUGGUGCAUGGUUGUCGUCAGCUCGUGUCGUGAGAUGUUGGGUUAAGUCCCGCAACGAGCGCAACCCUUAUGACUAGUUGCCAGCAUUUAGUUGGGCACUCUAGUAAGACUGCCGGUGACAAACCGGAGGAAGGUGGGGAUGACGUCAAAUCAUCAUGCCCCUUAUGACCUGGGCUACACACGUGCUACAAUGGAUGGUACAACGAGUUGCGAGACCGCGAGGUCAAGCUAAUCUCUUAAAGCCAUUCUCAGUUCGGACUGUAGGCUGCAACUCGCCUACACGAAGUCGGAAUCGCUAGUAAUCGCGGAUCAGCACGCCGCGGUGAAUACGUUCCCGGGCCUUGUACACACCGCCCGUCACACCAUGAGAGUUUGUAACACCCGAAGCCGGUGGCGUAACCCUUUUAGGGAGCGAGCCGUCUAAGGGGUCAAUU
rnacentral:rRNA from 1 species